CUUGGUCUGACCCAGUCUCGAGAUAUGCAGCUCCUGGUCUUUGUGCUCGUUUUAAUUUUCUACCUCAUCAUCCUCCCUGGAAAUUUCCUCAUCAUCCUCACCAUCAGAUUAGACCCUGGCCUCACAGCCCCCCUCUACUUCUUUCUGGGCAACUUGGCCUUCCUGGAUGCAUCCUACUCCUUCAUUGUGGCUCCCAGGAUGCUGGUGGACUUCCUCUCUGAGAAGAAGCAAGUUAUUAAAAUAAACCAGGAUUUCUACUUCUGAUCAAGAUGGAAUAAGAGGAACUGAUUUACCUUCCUGCCUGAAACAAUAACAAAAAUGGACAAAAUCUACAAAAAAACAGAUUUCAAGACACUGAACAUCAGGCAACAAACAGUAAAAGGACCACUGAGCUCUAUGGUUGCCAAACUUAUUUCUCUGAGAGAAUUUCUGGGGCACAGUGUAGGAAGAGGAAACCAGGAAGAGUCAGCAGACUCUGUGUUAAGAAGGACCUGAGUUUCUGGGGUCCUAGAAUCUAAGAAGCCCUGUUUUUUUUUUUGUUAUAGAAUGGUAUUAGAAACCAUGGUCUUGGGGCUAGGUGUGUCUAUUGCUACUGGGGUGUCACUACUGUCGGCCCUGUCAGGUAACAGAGUGAAGGAAUAUGUGUGUGUACUAACAUUCACAUAUAAAUGUAUCCAUAAAUCCUUCGGCCUGUAAAACUCUGUGUCUAUAUUGAGCUAAACAUGAAUUCAUACUGAUGUUUCCAACUUUAAUCCAUUACCUCAUGGAGCACUCUGGCCUCUUCCCUUUCUUCAUCUGUAAAUCCCCACUCCAACAGUGAGAAACUUGGCUACCAUCAUCCCCCAUCCAUUUACUUUAUUGUUCAAUACUAGUAGACAUGUAUAUAGCAGUAUCAAAAUUGUUAACCCAUAUCCCAUGGGAAACAACUCAAUCAAGUAGAAUACAAUGCUUAACUGCAGUUCUUUUUGCCAUUAAUCAUACAUAUUCCACUAAUUUCCAAAGUUGCUUAGGUCAGCCCCUUUUCCUCCCAUCCCUUUCAGUGAAGUCAUUUCACACAUUUGUUACAUUUUUUUUGCCACAGUCUGCAUUCCAUCCUGGCAUUCCUCAACCUCCUAAAUAAUUUUUUAAAAUUUGCAUAAAUUAACAUUCAUUCUUAUGCUAUGAAGUUCUAUGAGUUUUGAUAAAUCCAGAAUGUUAUGUAUUUAUCAUUGCAGUAUUUUAUAAAGAAAAAUUUCACACCCUAAAAUAUCAUUUUUGUUUCACCUAUCCAACCCUCCUAUCUUCCCCCUGCACCUUUGACAAAUACUGAUUUUUUUAUUCUCUCCAUAGUUUUGCUUUUUCCAAAAUGUCAUACAUUUGAAAUCAUUUAGUAUGUAGCCUUUUCAGACUGGCUUCUUUCACCUAACAAUAUGAACCUAAGAUUCACCACAUGUUUUAGGGCUUGAUAACUCAUUUCCUUUUAUUUCUGAAUAAUUUUCCAUUGUGUGAAUAUACUACAGUUUAUCCAUUCACCCACUGAAGAACAUUAUGGUUGCUUCCAAUUUUGCUAUUAUCAAUGAACUGUUAGAAACAUUUACCAGCAGGUAUUUGUUCAGAUAUAAGUUUUCAAAUUGGUUGGGUAAAUACUAGGAAUGUGACUGCCUGGUAAUAUGGUAAGACUAUGUUUAGCUUUGUAAGAAACAUCCAGACUUCAAAAGUUAGU
rnacentral:lncRNA from 1 species